UUGCGCGGGCCGAAAGGCUUGGGUUAUCGCCUGCAACGCGAGAGGUCGGGGGUUCGAGUCCCUCCGGGUUAA
rnacentral:tRNA from 1 species